AUUCUCGCUCUUGUUGUGCGUCUCCCGUAAGCCUGCUCCUCUCCAGUAUAACGGCGACCGGGGCCUCGGGUCGGCCGUCGCCUGAUGCAAUCUUCUUCAACCUCACCAUUCAUCAAAAUCAUUCGCGUUUGGUACCUCAGCUUUCUGCAUGCAGUGCUGUAGGCAUCUUGAUUUCAACUUGUUAAUGAAGUCCCUUGCCCUACAAAGGGAAUUCUGUUAGAACUCUGGGUUUGAUAUGCAUGUUAUGAGCCUUGUAAUCAGAUAUAGCAGCUAAUAGUUUGGAUGAUCUUUCCAUGUCCCAUCAUGCUUACUCUGUUCGUUGCUUCAUCUCUUAGGCUUCUUAACAUUUCAAAUCUUGCAACUUUAAUAUUCUAUGAACACUUUUGAUGCUCGUCUCUAAAGCAUUUCUUUUAAUUUAAGGUGUUAUGGUGAAAAUUAUGUUAAACAUCCACAGGGAAGUAGAAGCUGCAAUAUAUGAGAAACAUAAGAUAUGUGAGCCCUUAUAUUCCUGAUGUUUGAGGACCAAGUACUUUUCCAAGAAAGCCCUACAUGGAGGUAAAGGGGGCAAUAUGACCAUGAAACACACUUUUGAUGAUGAGGACAAAGUCAAAUGGUUAAAUUUCAUGGUUCUUUAUAAGUUUAUAUUUCAAAUUGAAUUUGGAUUUGACCACAGUUUUGUGGUCCUAUUUAGAUAGCCCUGUCCAAAAUCAUCUCUGACCCAAUUAAAUACCUGGAAGAUCAGUACUAGUCAGCACUGGAAGCAGAAACCACAAUGACAGUCAACAAUAAAUAAUCUUCCAAAAAAAGCUUUUAAUGGUGACUUGGAGGACAACGUGAUGAAGACAAAAGGGAAGUUAUAUUUAUGUGUUGUCGUGGUACUUAUUUUAUUGCCUUUGUGCUUAUGGCUUAUUGCAGCCAGGAUAGUAGGACACAGAAAGCUAUGAAAGGCGGCAGCUGUUAAAUUACUUGUCUUUCAUAUAAAAUGAUAUGAAACUGGACUAGUUUUGCAUGCAAAUGCCACUUUGAUGGACCAAGAAAGCUCCAUACAUCACUUGUUGAAAAUCUGGUUUGAAAUUUUAUGAAAAUGGUUGUCACAAAAACUAUUGAAUGCAUCAUUCUGAAUUUUGGUGUGCAGCUUGAAUUAGGUGGACUGCAUGAGCAGAACAAAAAUAUUAUUAUCGAGGAAAUGAAGGCCCCCAAGGAGCAUCUCAGGUGAAACCAGACAACUUUUAGUUCAAGUCUCAUGCAAGCUGGGUUAUUCUAGACAUGUGAGGCACAAUUAUACUCAGCUGCUAGAUUUUCAAGUUCCUUUAGGAGCUCAAGCUUUUUGUCCCUAAGCUUUAUAUUCUCAUGGAGGAUGUGAUGGCACUCUUUCAUCAUGUUGUUUACUUCGUGGAGGAGUUGGUGGUUCACUGAUUGGAAGUGAAUGACCAGUGACCACAACUGAUUGAAUUGUUUCUGCUUUCUCAUGCGCGAUCGUCGAGCAGACUCUCUGUUGGAUAUCAUCCUUCUCUUCCUCCUCUCUUCGAUGAGGCUUGAUUUGUCUUCAUCUUCCUCAUCUGCAGCUGAGUUAGUGUUAUAACAAGUGCUUGGAUAGCAAUCAGCAUACAUCCUGGAAUCAUAAGUGGAAAAAGAUCUGAAGAGACUGCUAAACUUGAAGGAUGAGAUGUCACUUGGAGCCAUACUAUAAUGGGCUUGGAAGGAAGGCAGGUUUGAAGGUGAAAGAAACCAAAUGCUGUCAACCUCAUCAUGGUGCAUGGUUGUAUCGUUUCAAAAAGACUGCAUAAGGUAAGAACAGCUUUGGGAGGAAGAGUUGUUACAAAGAAAGAAUUGAGGUGAGCAAUGGAAGCAUGAAAGAACAGGAUGUGGAGGUUAUUUAUAGUGUUAAAAGACCAAAGGGUGAGAGACCUACUUCAAGCAUUUCACACUUUGUUAAACAGGCAAUAAGAACGCACAUCCAUGAGAUCACCAUCCAGCUUGUGGGAUACCAGGGAACGAGUGGCUCAGUUUUCAUGUUUGUGUUUUCCAAGCAUGUCCAGAGGAGCGUCUCCAUCAUGAUUGUCUGAUCAAGAUUGGACACUAGAGUGCAAAUGGAAUGGACCCCCAAUAGCAUCACAUCCACUACCAUUAAAUGAGGUGCUGGUUGUUUAACAAUGACAAGCAUUUCCCCUGAGGUGAGAACAGGAUAUUGACAAAGGUUUGCUGCAAGCAUGAAUCUGGAUCAUGUAUAAUUGAUGAAAGGAUUGUGGGCUUAAACCUUGGAACAUUGCAGCUGCAGGCGCUUAAUGAGAUGAGGAUAGAUAAAUUCUUGAAUGAGAGGGUAGAGUUCAUUUUACUGGAGGGUUGAUAGUUGGAGCAAGUGUUCGAGCAAGGUGAAAGAGGAUGAAAAUGAAAGAAGAUAUGCAAGGAAUGUUUGAUUGGUGUAUUUCUGUGACACUGGCUUUAUAUUUAUAUUAAGAUGAGGGGCAUAAUGGAAGUCAUUUCCCAGAAAAGUUGACAUAUUAUUUAUGCCACUGAAAUAAUCCAUAAAUACAGACCCAUUUGGUGAGGAUGGAUAAUCAGGCAUAAAAAUAUGCUCUUAAUAUGUCUAACAAACUAUCUCAUAAUAAUAUUGUUUAACUAUCAAAUAAAAUUCUCCUAAUCCCAUCAACGAUCUCUUUUUCUUUGUGUUGUAAAUUUUAUUCUUGUUCCUCAGAUUUCUUUUGAUCAUUUGUCAUAUUACUGUUAUUCUACUUCUUUUUUGGUCUCAACUUGUUUUAGUCAUUGCACCUACUUCUGAUAAAUACUCUCAUAUACUUAUGCUAUUAUCCAUCUUUCAAGGCUUCUUGUACAUUGAUAGUGCUAUUAUUAUCUUCAUGUCAACAAUCUUAUUUCUGGACAUUAUGUUAUGUGCUUUUUUUUAUGUUAACCACUCCAGUAAGAAUAAAUCAUUCACCUGUUCCUUAUUUGAUGCAAAUUCAUAACUUUAAUGUCAUGGCCCUAUAAGCGAAGGUUACAUCAAGAAUAUAUCUUUUAUGACUUUCACAUUAGAAAUUUUCUAACCAUGAGCAUUUAUCCUCUUAUCAGGUCAAGGUAUAUCUGGAAGGAUGUCAUGGAACAUUUUGCUAAAAGCUCAAUUCUUUGGCAGACUUCCUCUGCUGCUUCUUGAAAGCUUUUUAGGAAGGAGGAGAUAUUGAUCAUCAAUCACAUAUUCAGGAACCUGGUGUAGCUUAAUGUCAUUCUUAUUCAUUUUGACAUUGCUGUCACCAAUACAUAAAACCAAAAGAUGAGUUUGCUACAAGAUUGCCUCCUUAGCAGAGAGAGAUGGAAAACUGGCAUAUGUGAGAAGGAUCAGGUUCCUACUCCAGCCUGCAAGCAACCCCAGCAACAGAGGAAUGCAAAGGAACUCAGCACCCCAGUGACACAAUUCCUCAUGAAUUGACUCACUUAUGGCUUUUGAGUUCAGAGUUUGUGGUAUCAGAUUGCUGCAAAAUCCAUUCACAAAGAAUUUGAAGUGAUUUCAUCAUCAACUAGGAGGGAGGAAAAAUGGAAGAGUAAAUUCCAUGGUAGCCAGCACACCAAGCACACCAACAAAGGAAGGUCUUGUGAAUCAGAUCUCAUUGACAGAGAUCAUGUUCCUGAAUGCUAUAAAAUUAGGCACCUAAUCUGCAGUAAUUAACAAAGCAAGAUGCUCAAGUUCCAAUGUAAACCUAAUAAUUACAUGGGAUGAGUAUAGAUUCCCCUUGAACUCCUCUCUUUGUAUCAGAGACUGUCUCUGAAAAUAUUAGUAAAACUCCUUGGGAAUGGCCCUACAAGUACUACUUGCAACAUAAACAAAGACUCCCCACAGAGUUU